CUGGUUGGAGGGGUAACGGCCCACCAAGGCGACGAUCAGUAGCCGGCCUGAGAGGGUGAACGGCCACAUUGGGACUGAGACACGGCCCAGACUCCUACGGGAGGCAGCAGUGGGGAAUAUUGCACAAUGGGGGAAACCCUGAUGCAGCGACGCCGCGUGAAGGAAGAAGUAUCUCGGUAUGUAAACUUCUAUCAGCAGGGAAGAAAAUGACGGUACCUGACUAAGAAGCCCCGGCUAACUACGUGCCAGCAGCCGCGGUAAUACGUAGGGGGCAGGCGUUAUCCGGAUUUACUGGGUGUAAAGGGAGCGUAGACGGAAGAGCAAGUCUGAUGUGAAAGGCUGGGGCUUAACCCCAGGACUGCAUUGGAAACUGUUUUUCUAGAGUGCCGGAGAGGUAAGCGGAAUUCCUAGUGUAGCGGUGAAAUGCGUAGAUAUUAGGAGGAACACCAGUGGCGAAGGCGGCUUACUGGACGGUAACUGACGUUGAGGCUCGAAAGCGUGGGGAGCAAAGAGGAUUAGAUACCCUGGUAGUCCACGCCGUAAA
rnacentral:rRNA from 1 species